rnacentral:rRNA from 2 species
UGGGGGAUAUUGCACAAUGGGGGAAACCCUGAUGCAGCAACGCCGCGUGAGGGAAGAAGGUUUUCGGAUUGUAAACCUCUGUUUUUAGUGACGAAACAAAUGACGGUAGCUAAAGAGGAAGCCACGGCUAACUACGUGCCAGCAGCCGCGGUAAUACGUAGGUGGCAAGCGUUGUCCGGAAUUACUGGGUGUAAAGGGUGCGCAGGCGGGACUGUAAGUUGGAUGUGAAAUACCGAGGCUUAACCUCGGAGCUGCAUCCAAAACUGCGGUUCUUGAGUGAAGUAGAGGUAGGCGGAAUUCCGAGUGUAGCGGUGAAAUGCGUAGAUAUUCGGAGGAACACCAGUGGCGAAGGCGGCCUACUGGGCUUUAACUGACGCUGAGGCACGAAAGCAUGGGGAGCAAACAGG